GGCCGUGGAGACGGUGGAGGGCGGAGCGGCGGCGGCGAAGGCGCCGUACUGGGACCCGCCGCCGGCGCCGCUGCUGGACACGAGCGAGCUGGGUAAGUGGUCGCUGUACCGUGCCCUCAUCGCGGAGUUCAUGGCGACGCUCAUCUUCCUCUACGUGAGCAUCGCCACCGUGAUCGGGUACAAGAACCAGAGGGCCACCGUCGACGCGUGCACCGGCGUCGGCUACCUCGGCGUGGCGUGGUCGUUCGGUGCCACCAUAUUCGUCCUCGUCUACUGCACCGGCGGCGUCUCCGGCGGGCACAUCAACCCGGCGGUGACGCUGGGCCUCUUC
rnacentral:misc_RNA from 1 species